AUUGAACGCUGGCGGCAGGCCUAACACAUGCAAGUCGAACGCGUGGCGGACGGGUGAGUAAUGUCUGGGAAACUGCCCGAUGGAGGGGGAUAACUACUGGAAACGGUAGCUAAUACCGCAUACCAUCGGAUGUGCCCAGAUGGGAUUAGCUAGUAGGUGGGGUAACGGCUCACCUAGUCGACGAUCCCUAGCUGGUCUGAGAGGAUGACCAUCCCCACUGGAACUGAGACACGGUCCAGCCUCCUACGGGAGGCAGCAGUGGUGAAUAUUGCACAAUGGUCGCAAGCCUGCUUCAGCCAUGCCGCGUGUAUGAAGAAGGCCUUCGGGUUGUAACGUACUUUCAGCGAGGAGGCGUUACUCGCAGAAGAAGCACCGGCUAACUCCGUGCCAGCAGCCGCGGUAAUUC
rnacentral:rRNA from 1 species